CUUUCACUUGGGCCUUUUGGAUCUCUAAAUCAAUGGGCUUUAGUGGCCCAUUUCCUUACUCUUUCUUGCACUUUGUUUGGGCUCAAUUUUGUUAGUAGUGAAUGAAUGUAGUUGGGCCUAUUAUAUAAAAAUCUUGGGCUGAACAUCUUGGCCCAAUAUAAUGUUAAACCAUUGUCUUUAAUAGCCUCCCUAACUUGGGCUUCGUUUGUCACAAGACUUGGAAAGUUUCGGCGUUAAGCCUUGUCUUCGUUCCCCUUUCUUUUUACUAACGUCUAGACUUCAAGUGAGUUCACUUAUGAAUGAAUUCUUCUCCCUCAUGUAUAUAUAAUUUUUAAGCUAAGAACACAGGUGACUCACCUGCUAGCUUCCUAAGUUCCAUAAGCAUGUCAAUGAUUUUCUCCGUUUAAGGCCACAGUCUCUAAAUAGACUUCCAUAUAGUGCCCCAAUCUAACACUUGAACACUUGAAAAAUUUUGGUAGUAAUUAAAUCAAGUCGUAUGUCAUUUUAUGUGAACAUUACUAGUACAGGUAAAAUGUGGGGUGUUACA
rnacentral:lncRNA from 1 species